UGUUUAUAUGUAGUGCUGCGUUCAGACGCGUCAAAACGUCGGAAACUACAAACUCCGACUCGAAAAAAUAAUUUGAACGCAUCAACAGGUCGGGAAUUCGCGCGGGAAUUCACGCCCCUAACUCACCAGACUUGACGAUAAAACAGCCGCAGUCAUGGCGGCCUCCGGCCGUGAUAGACAGGGGCAACACCGGUACAAAAAUACAUUCACGGCUGCAAAACCUCAUGCGAACGUUUCCCUGUAAAGACAACAACCUCAGCUCAGUGUGUGUUUAUGAUAUCUGACAAUUUAAAGUGCAGAAAAAACGCCCCCAGUGUUUAAAGACCUUUACAGAGAAGAGUCCGGACGAAAAAGUAUCCGUUGGCCUGGCUGUUUAUGGGAGCAGAUCGAGUUCAUAGGACCACAGUGUUUCUACAGCAAGCUGAUGAGCGACUGGCCUCACUGUCACCGCCUGAGCAGCACGUGCCUGGGACUUAUCACCUGAAAACAAGGAAACUUGAGCUGUCAGCAGACUACAGCACAGGAGAGCUCUGCUGGAAUGCUGCUAAGCUGCAGAUGUACCAGCCAAAUUAUUCCAGAGGGGAAUUACCAGGCCAUAAAUCCAGACGUCAGGAGGAAGGCUGUAGCCUAUUUCACGCCCCUUGCCUGCAGCGUGGAGGGCGGAGAGGUCACGAUGGACGAUGAGGGACGGGCAGGGCGAAGCUGAAAGAGGAAGUAGCCUCCACGUCCAUGAGCAGAAGAAGAAGAAGAAGAAGAAGAAGAAGAGGGCUCCAGUUAUAGAGAAGAAGAAGAGGAGGAGGAGGUCGGCGAGCCUGCAGCAGAUUUAUCCUGCAGUCCACCAGGGAAGGUCCUGACCUCCAGGGAAAGACUUGGGUAACCUCACCUUUCUGGGGUCUGGAUGUUGUCCAGAUCCUCGAUGUCCAGGACCAUCUGCUGGGACUCCUCCUUGGC